UCAUAUGGUUGGUCAUUUUACUAUAGCAUUUUUUUUUUUUUUUUGGUCAAUUGAACUGAGGGAAUUGUAUAUGUCACUCCAAUUUAGUUUUGCGGGAAGAAAUCAUAUAGUGAAAUGGAAAUUAAUGAAGUUCGAUCAGAUUGGGUUAUGUUAGCGACUCAGUUAAUCAUUACUCAUGUUUGAAGUUGGCAGUGUUUUCAAUAUGGAUCAUUUUGGGGGUUGCUCUAUUAUGAUUGAUGUAUAGUUGGCAUAUUGAGAGGUGAAGCCAAGUAGACAUGGUAGGUGUA